GGCCUCUUAGCUCAGUUGGCUAGAGCGUUGACUGUACUUAAGCCUUCCCCCUUCCUAGCGUGGGUUCAAAUCUCACCAAGGCCG
rnacentral:tRNA from 1 species